rnacentral:rRNA from 1 species
CUACGGGCCGCUGCAGUAAGGAAUAUUGCGCAAUGGAGGCAACUCUGACGCAGCCAUGCCGCGUGCAGGAAGAAGGCCUUAUGGGUCGUAAACUGCUUUUAUUUAGGAAUAAACCCUCGCUCGUGAGCGAGGCUGAAGGUACUGAAUGAAUAAGCACCGGCUAACUCCGUGCCAGCAGCCGCGGUAAUACGGAGGGUGCAAGCGUUAUCCGGAUUUAUUGGGUUUAAAGGGUGCGCAGGCGGGCUAUUAAGUCAGUGGUGAAAUCCCGGGGCUCAACUCCGGAACUGCCAUUGAUACUGAUAGUCUUGAGUUUGGUUGAAGUGGGCGGAAUAUAGCAUGUAGCGGUGAAAUGCAUAGAUAUGCUACAGAACACCAAUCGCGAAGGCAGCUCACUAAGCCAAAACUGACGCUCAUGCACGAAAGCGUGGAGAUCAAACAGGAUUAGAUACCCGCGUAGUC